GUCAAGUCUGACCAGGGAGAGAUGCUCGCAAAGCCUUUUCUGGAUGUCUGCAAGAACAUCUUGCCAGUUUUAGGUAUGAGUUGCUGAAGAUGACUUGGCAUAUGUCAAGUGGAACUAUCUCACAUAUUAUCUCAUCAAUGAUUCCAACAUUAUGUAGCACUGUUGAUCAAUUAUCAUCAUUGGUCUCUUUUGAAUCCAGCCUAAAGUAUAAAUUUGGAGCAGCAAUGGCACUUGUUAAAUCGGAUAUAGGGGGCAACAUAACAAGACUUGAAAACAGAUAUAACGAUGAUCCCUCAAAAUUCAAAUAUCUCUACACUUUUGUCCAAGUAGAAAUAGAGACUAAAACAGCAAAGUCUUCAUCAAGCUGCACUAAUGGCCUUCUGUGGCUUACAAGAGCAAUGGAUUUCUUAGUGGAACUAUUUCGUAACUUAUUGGAGCAUCCUGACUGGACCAUGUCACAAGCCUGUUCUGAUUCAUAUAACAAGACUCUCAAAAAAUGGCACGGUUGGCUUGCAAGUUCAAGCUUUACGGUAGCCAUGAAGCUCGCUCCUGAUAGGAAGAAGUUCAUGGAGGUUAUUGGAGGUAGUGGUGACCUCAAUUCUGAUAUGGAAAAAUUCUGCUCAACUUUUGCUCCUCUUCUCGCAGAAAUACACAAGUUUCUAGCUAGUUGUGGAUUUGAUGACAUGAAGGCUUCUUGAUUACAGAACUUAUAUGGAUGUAGCUCUAAUAAAACUUUUGAGAUAGCGUAAGCCAAAUUUCGCUUUUAUGGAGAUUGACAUCAAUUAUGACUGGCCUAUUUGCAAUGAAUACUGAAUAAUGUUAUUCUAUGUAGAGAUCCCACUGAAACUAUUUACGGAAUAAGCAUUAUUGAAUAAUGUUAUUCUAUGGAAUAUUGAGUAAUGUUAUUCUAUAUGGAGAUUCCACUGAAACUGUUUAUGGAAUAAGCACUGAGAUGCGGAUUAGGAGUAUGCUCAAAUUUAUAAACUCAACAAAACUAUCCUUCUGUUCAGUUUGAUAUUUUUGCAAGCUUUUUGUUGGAAUUGGCUUCUGUAAUUGUGUAGAUCUUUUGUAUUUGUUAUGGAUACCUUAUAUGGCUCUAUUAUUUGUAGUUUGUAUGGCAGACAUUUUGUAUUUUUU